CAGUUAGGUAAGUUCUAGGACAUGUACUCGCUGAGGGUUUUUUCUUUUUUCUUUUUUUUUAUGUUACAACGGCUGGCUUACCAGUUCUGAGUCAGGUGUGUCUGGUUCUCAUUCCUUUCAGUGAUCUUCUGUGCACAAUGUGUUUUUGUUGUUAUUAAGUAUGUGAGCUCGUUGGUAAAACAUGUUUCUUCUUUUUUCAUUGGAAUAUGCUUUUUAUGUGUUUCCUUUCCUAAGUAGAGAUAGAGAGAGAGAUUCCAUCUUUGUUGAAAUUUAAUUUCUACGCUUCUUUCGUUCUUGACACAGAAUCUUCUUCUAUCCACAGAUGAAAAUGAUGCAGAUCUGAAGAUUGCUGAUUUUGGAUUUGCAAGGUAUUGUCAUCAGCUCCCCCUGUUACUAGAUCAAAGAGUGUAAUAUGAGUGAAUUAGAGAAGGUCUCGAAUGGGCUCGAGCUGCUAGGUCGUCGCAACCUAGGGGGCUUGCAGAAACAUUAUUUGGUUCACCAUUGUAUAUGGCCCCAGAGAUUAUGCAACUUCACAAGUAUGAUGCAAAGGCAGAUCUCUGGAGUGUUGGUGCUAUCUUAUCUCAACUGGUCACAGGCAGAACGCCUUUUACAG